UUUCCGUAGGUGAACCUGCGGAAGGAUCAGUA
rnacentral:rRNA from 4 species